GGCACGGAAAUUUGGCCAGCUGACAUAUAAUUCGUUUUUGCCGCAGAAUUAAUGAUAUGAUCAAUGGCCUGCAUGGAGAAAUUAAAUGUCAUAAACUCCACAACAGGCUUCAGACCAUGGUAAGCAGCGCCAACACCAAUACCAGCAAACCCAGCCUCUGUGAUUGGGGUAUCAAGAACCCUCUCGGGACCAUAUUUCUCCAAAAGCCCUUUGGUUAUCUUAUAGGCACCCUGAUAUUCUCCAACCUCUUCACCCAUCAAAAAAACUUUAGGAUCAGCGGACAUUUCUUCAUCAAGUGCAGAGUUUAGAGCAUCUCUCACAGUCAUCUCUUUUGCGGCAGAUGAAUAUCUCGAUGAUGAGGCGGCUGGACGAAGCCUCUGCAAAGCCGGAAUAGAGGAGGCUCCAGCGCCAACUUUUUGCCGAACGAUUCCCCACAUCUUUUUCUCGAGCGAAAGAUUGC
rnacentral:misc_RNA from 1 species